UGGGGAAUAUUGGACAAUGGGGGCAACCCUGAUCCAGCAAUGCCGCGUGUGUGAAGAAGGUCUUCGGAUUGUAAAGCACUUUCGACGGGGACGAUGAUGACGGUACCCGUAGAAGAAGCCCCGGCUAACUUCGUGCCAGCAGCCGCGGUAAUACGAAGGGGGCUAGCGUUGCUCGGAAUGACUGGGCGUAAAGGGCGUGUAGGCGGUUUACACAGUCAGAUGUGAAAUCCCCGGGCUUAACCUGGGAGCUG
rnacentral:rRNA from 1 species